GCUGGGCACAGUGGCUUGUGCCUGUAAUCCCUGCAGGUUGGGAGCCUGAGAUUGGGAGGAUCAAGAGUUCAAAACCACCCUUGGCAAUGGCAAGGUGCUAACUCAGUGAGAUCCCAUCUCUA
rnacentral:sRNA from 1 species